rnacentral:lncRNA from 1 species
UUUUCCUCCGGAAGUGCGGCACCCAGAGGCCGUCCUGUAGCCGGGCCGGCUUGGGGCUUGGUUCUAUGUCCCUGCGGGUCGGUGCAAGGGCGAAGAGGAACCCGUGGGCCUCAGGGGAUCCCGGGGGGCCGGACCAGUGUUCCCUAGUUGUGGGAGCAGACGCGUGGGCACAUUGCGGGCGGGCAGGGCCUGAAGUGCAGCUAUGUUUCCAGUGUCCUCUGGGUGUUUCCAAGAGCAACAAGAAAUGAAUAAAUCUCUGUUGAAGAGAUACCAUUUGACAUUUUAGAGAUGGCUGCAUGCAAACUCUUGAAACAUUUGAGUAAGUACAGUACACCAGGGAGACUCUUA